GACGAACGCUGGCGGCGUGCUUAACACAUGCAAGUGGAGCGACGAACCAGGGCUUGCCCUGGGGCAGAGCCGCGAACGGGUGAGUAACACGUGGGUAACCUACCCCGAUGACCGGGACAACCCGAGGAAACUCGGGCUAAUACCGGAUGUUCUCGCUUCCUCUGAGGGAAGUGAGUAAAGAUAGCUUCGGCCUUCGCAUCGGGACGGGCCCGCGGCCCAUUAGCUUGUUGGUGAGGUAACGGCUUACCAAGGCGACGAUGGGUAGCUGGUCUGAGAGGACGAUCAGCCACACUGGGACUGAGACACGGCCCAGACUCCUACGGGAGGCAGC
rnacentral:rRNA from 1 species